rnacentral:rRNA from 1 species
AGCUCCAAUAGCGUAUAUUAAAGUUGUUGUGGUUAAAAAGCUCGUAGUUGGAUCUCGGCAGAUUGAAGGCGGUUUGCUUGCUGGUAUUGUAUUACUGCCUUAUAAUCUGUAGUUUUGCCAGAGGUUUUAGAGUGCUCUUAAUCGAGUGUCCUGGGAUGCUGGCAGGUUUACUUUGAAAAAGUUAGAGUGCUCAAAGCAGACUAUUACGCCUGAAUAUUUCGUGCAUGGAAUAAUAUAAUAGGAAGUCGUUUCUAUUUUGUUGGUUUUCGGAAAUCGACUUAAUGAUUAUUAGGGACAGCUUAGCUGGGGCAUUUGUAUUCAAACGACAGAGGUGAAAUUCUUGGACCAUUUGAAGACAAACUACUGCGAAAGCAUUUGCCAAGAAUGUUUUCA